UACGAAGGGGGCUAGCGUUGCUCGGAAUCACUGGGCGUAAAGGGUGCGUAGGCGGGUUUUUAAGUCAGAGGUGAAAUCCUGGAGCUCAACUCCAGAACUGCCUUUGAUACUGAAAAUCUUGAGUAUGGGGGAGGUGAGUGGAACUGCGAGUGUAGAGGUGAAAUUCGUAGAUAUUCGCAAGAACACCAGUGGCGAAGGCGGCUCACUGGCCCAUAACUGACGCUGAGGCACGAAAGCGUGGGGAGCAAACAGG
rnacentral:rRNA from 1 species